rnacentral:rRNA from 1 species
GACAGAGGGUGCAAACGUUGUUCGGAAUUACUGGGCGUAAAGCGAGUGUAGGCGGUCCGCUAAGUCGGGUGUGAAAGCCCUGGGCUCAACCCAGGAAGUGCACUCGAAACUGGCGGGCUAGAGUAUCGGAGAGGUUGGUGGAAUUCUCGGUGUAGAGGUGAAAUUCGUAGAUAUCUGGAGGAACACCGGUGGCGAAGGCGGCGUUCUGGACUGUUUCUGACACUGAAUAACGAAAGCCAGGGGAGCAAACGGG